ACUCCUACGGGAGGCAGCAGUGGGGAAUAUUGCACAAUGGGGAAAGCCCAUCGAUGCAGCAACGACCGCGUGGAGGAUGACACAUUUCGGUGCGUAAACUCCUUUUAUAUAGGAAGAUAAUGACGGUACUAUAUGAAUAAGCGCCGGCUAAACUCCGUGCCAGCAGCCGCGGUAAUACGGAGGGCGCAAGCGUUACUCGGAAUCACUGGGCGUAAAGAGCGUGUAGGCGGAUAGAUAAGUCAGGAGUGAAAUCCUAUGGCUCAACCAUAGAACUGCUCUUGAAACUGUCAAUCUAGAGUAUGGGAGAGGUAGAUGGAAUUUCUGGUGUAGGGGUAAAAGUCCGUAGAGAUCAGAAGGAAUACCGAUUGCGAAGGCGAUCUACUGGAACAUAACUGACGCUGAGACGCGAAAGCGUGGGGAGCAAACAGGAUUAGAUACCCUGGUAGCGAGUAG
rnacentral:rRNA from 1 species